CCUACGGGAGGCAGCAGUGAGGAAUAUUGGUCAAUGGGCGGGAGCCUGAACCAGCCAAGCCGCGUGAGGGAAGAAGGUACAGCGUAUCGUAAACCUCUUUCGUCAGGGAACAAAGGCGGGGACUAGUCCCCGGAUGAGGGUACCUGACGAAAAAGCAUCGGCAAACUCCGUGCCAGCAGCCGCGGUAAUACGGAGGAUGCGAGCGUUAUCCGGAUUUAUGGGGGUAAAGGGGGGCGCAGGCGGCCUGUUACGUGAGCGGUAAACGCCCGGGGCUCAACCCCGGCGGGCCGUUGAAACUGGCGGGCUGGAGUAGGGGAGGGGUACGCGGAAUGCGCGGUGUAGCGGUGAAAUGCGUAGAUAUCGCGCAGAACCCCGAUUGCGAAGGCAGCGUACCGGCUCCUAACUGACGCUGAGGCACGAAAGCGUGGGUAUCGAACAGGAUUAGAUACCCCUGUAGUC
rnacentral:rRNA from 1 species